rnacentral:rRNA from 3 species
CCCGAAGUAUCCUGAAUCUUUCGCAUUGUUAAUCAUACAAGAGCAUAUAAUAAACACAAAAAUCAAUGAUAAUUAUGCCAUUAUAUAAUUCCGAAAAAUUAACGCUCUGUAAUAAUAUAAAUCUAUCAGCACUUUAUCAAAUUAAUAACAUUUAUUCUGUGUUAAAAUGCAAGCAAUUUAAUUGGAAUAAACUAUAAGUUAUAUUUUAUGAUAAAUUUGGGAUAUGCUAAUAGAUUACAAUGUCCUUAUAUGGAAAAAAUGCACAUUAUUCUUAAUAAUAUUAUUUAAAUAUUACAAUUUUAAUGAUGAAUUUUCCAUAACGGAUAUUCAGGUUCAUCGGGC